UACGUAGGGUGCUAGCGUUGUCCGGAUUUAUUGGGCGUAAAGGGCUCGUAGGCGGCGUGUCGCGUCGGGGAGUGAAAGCCCGCUGCUUAACGGCGGGUUGGCUUCCGGUACGGGCAUCGCUGGAGUGCGGCAGGGGGAGACUGGAAUUCCUGGUGUAGCGGUGGAAUGCGCAGAUAUCAGGAGGAACACCGGUGGCGAAGGCAGGUCUCUGGGCCGAUACUGACGUGAGGAGCGAAAGCGUGGGGAGCGAACAGG
rnacentral:rRNA from 1 species